UCUCCGUUGGUGAACCAGCGGAGGGAUCAUUACCGAGUUUACAACUCCCAAACCCCAAUGUGAACGUUACCAAACUGUUGCCUCGGCGGGAUUUCUGCCCCGGGCGCGUCGCAGCCCCGGACCAAGGCGCCCGCCGGAGGACCAACCCAAAACUCUUUUGUAUACCCCCUCGCGGGUUUUUUAUAUCUGAGCCUUCUCGGCGCCCCUAGCGGGCGUUUCGAAAAUGAAUCAAACUUUCAACAACGGAUCUCUUGGUUCUG
rnacentral:misc_RNA from 1 species